AGAGUUUGAUCCUGGCUCAGGACGAACGCUGGCGGCGUGCCUAAAACAUGCAAGUCGAACGAGGUCUUCGGACCUAGUGGCGAACGGCGGAGUAAUACAUAAGUAACGUGCCCGAAAGACGGGGAUAGCCGAGGGAAACUUCGAGUAAUACCCGAUGUGACUCGCGGAUGGCAUCAUCUGCGAAUUAAAUGGUUUUUCGCUUUCGGAGCGGCUUAUGACACAUCAGUUAGUUGGUGGGGUAACGGCCUACCAAGGCUACGACGUGUAGGGGGUCUGAGAGGAUGAUCCCCCCGAGUGGGACUGAGACACGGCCCACACACCUACGGGUGGCAGCAGUUGGGAAUCUUGCACAAUGGGGGAAACCCUGAUGCAGCGACGCCGCGUGGAGGAUGACGGAUUUAGGUCUGUAAACUCCUUUUGCAGAGAAAGACUCAGGACGGUACUCUGCGAAUAAGCUCCGGCUAACUACGUGCCAGCAGCCGCGGUAAGACGUAGGGAGCAAGCGUUGUCCGGAUUUACUGGGCGUAAAGCGCACGUAGGCGGUCUGUUAAGUGAGUGGUGAAAUCUCCAGGGCUCAACCCGGAAACUGCUUCUCAUACUGGCAGACUGGAGGAAUGAAGAGGUAAGUAGAAUUCCCGGUGUAACGGUGACAUGUGUUGAUAUCGGGAGGAAUACCCAAGGCGAAGGCAGCUUACUGGUCAUUUCCUGACGCUGAGGUGCGAAAGCGUGGGUAGCAAACAGGAUUAGAUACCCUGGUAGUCCACGCCCUAAACGAUGGAUACUAGGCGUAAGAGGUAUCGACCCCUCUUGUGCCGUAGCUAACGCAUUAAGUAUCCCGCCUGGGGAGUACGGCCGCAAGGUUGAAACUCAAAUGAAUUGACGGGACCCCGCACAAGCGGUGGAGCAUGUGGUUUAAUUCGAUACUAACCGAAGAACCUUACCCAGACUUGACAUCGCGGGAAAGGCCCUGAAAGGGGUCCCCCGACCACAAGUCGGCCCAAAGACACUUGUUGCAUGGCUGUCGUCAGCUCGUGCCGUGAGGUGUUUGGUUAAGUCCAGCAACGAGCGCAACCCUCGUCUUAUGUUGCCAGCGGGUAAUGCCGGGAACUCAUAAGAGACAGCCUGUGCAAGCAGGAGGAAGGUGAGGAUGACGUCAAGUCGGCAUGGCAGUUACGUCUGGGGCUACACACAUGCUACAAUGGGCGAAACAAAGGGCAGCGAUGCCGCGAGGCGGAGCCAAUCCCAAAAAUACGCCCCCAGUUCAGAUUGUAGUCUGCAACUCGACUACAUAAAGGCGGAAUCGCUAGUAAACGCAGGUCAGCUAUACUGCGUUGAAUACGUUCCCGGGGUUUGUACACACUGCCCGUCAAGUCACCUGAAUUGUCUUCACCCGAAGUCCGUGGCCUAACCGUAAGGAGGGAGCGGCCGAAGGUGAGGGGGGUAAGGGGGACUAAGUCGUAACAAGGUAACC
rnacentral:rRNA from 1 species